rnacentral:rRNA from 1 species
CGUCUAUAUACGUAUAGCAUAUCAAUAAGCGGAGGAAAAGAAACUAACAAGGAUUCCCUUAGUAGCGGCGAGUGAAGCGGGAAGAGCUCAAAUUUGAAAUCUUCAAGGUUCUACCUUGACGAAUUGUAGUUUAAAGAAGUGUUUUCUGUUAGUGGAGUGGCAAAAGUUCUUUGGAAUAGGACAUCAUAGAGGGUGAGAAUCCCGUAUUUGGUCAUUCCUCCUAGCGUUGUGAUACACUUUCAACGAGUCGGAUUGUUUGGGAAUGCAGUCCAAAAUGGGUGGUAAAUUUCAUCUAAAGCUAAAUAUUGGCGAGAGACCGAUAGCGAACAAGUACCGUGAGGGAAAGAUGAAAAGAACUUUGAAAAGAGAGUUAAACAGUACGUGAAAUUGUCAAAAGGGAAGCGUUUGACACCAGUGUUGUUUUUCCGAAAAUCAAUUACGAAUGUUUUGUUUUUGAGGAGUUAUGACUUCAUCGGCUUGCUUCUUUCUUUACGAAACUUUCUUAAUGCACUUUUCGGUUAACAAGUCAACAUCAAUUUCUUUUGUUGUAAAAGGGUAUGAGGAAGGUGGCUUUCUUUUCGGAGAAAGUGUUUAUAGCCUUGUGCCUCUACAAUCGGAGAGAUUGAGGUCUGCAGCGUAGAUCCUUCGGGGUUAGAUACGUUUGUGCUAAGUUAUAGCUUUUCAUAGACAGCUUGUUGACUAUGAUUAGUCAUUGUAGCUUACUCGCUUACGCUAUUUUACCUACGCUUAGGAUGUUGACUGAUAUGUAGUCGUA